GACGAACGCUGGCGGCGUGCUUAACACAUGCAAGUCGAACGGAGAGGCCCUGCUUUUGUGGGGUGCUCGAGUGGCGAAAGGGUGAGUAUCACGUGAGUAACCUGCCCUUUACUUUGGGAUAACUUCUUUAAACUGGGGCUCAUACCGCAUAUGAGCUCUUUCUGCAUGGUUUUUGUUGUAAAGUUUCGGCGGUUGGGGAUGGACUCGCGGUCUAUCAGCUUGUUGGUGGGGUAGUGGCUUACCAAGGCUUUGACGGGUAGCCGGACUGAGAGGGUGACCGGCCACAUAGGGACUGAGAUAGGGGCAGUAGUCAUACGGGAGGAAUCAGUGGGAAAUAGUGCAAAAAGGGCGGAAGCAGGAUGCAGCAACGCCGCGUGCGGGAUGACGGUCUUCGGGGUGUAAACCGCGUUCGACUGUGAAGAAGAGUGAGUGACGGUAAUGGGUAAAGAAGCAACGGCUAACUACGUG
rnacentral:rRNA from 1 species